rnacentral:rRNA from 1 species
ACCGGGGCUAAUACCGGAUGGUUGUUUGAACCGCAUGGUUCAGACAUAAAAGGUGGCUUCGGCUACCACUUACAGAUGGACCCGCGGCGCAUUAGCUAGUUGGUGAGGUAACGGCUCACCAAGGCGACGAUGCGUAGCCGACCUGAGAGGGUGAUCGGCCACACUGGGACUGAGACACGGCCCAGACUCCUACGGGAGGCAGCAGUAGGGAAUCUUCCGCAAUGGACGAAAGUCUGACGGAGCAACGCCGCGUGAGUGAUGAAGGUUUUCGGAUCGUAAAGCUCUGUUGUUAGGGAAGAACAAGUGCCGUUCAAAUAGGGCGGCACCUUGACGGUACCUAACCAGAAAGCCACGGCUAACUACGUGCCAGCAGCCGCGGUAAUACGUAGGUGGCAAGCGUUGUCCGGAAUUAUUGGGCGUAAAGGGCUCGCAGGCGGUUUCUUAAGUCUGAUGUGAAAGCCCCCGGCUCAACCGGGGAGGGUCAUUGGAAACUGGGGAACUUGAGUGCAGAAGAGGAGAGUGGAAUUCCACGUGUAGCGGUGAAAUGCGUAGAGAUGUGGAGGAACACCAGUGGCGAAGGCGACUCUCUGGUCUGUAACUGACGCUGAGGAGCGAAAGCGUGGGGGAGCGAACAGGAUUAGAUACCCUGGUAGUCCACGCCGUAAACGAUGAGUGCUAAGUGUUAGGGGGGUUUCCGCCCCUUAGUGCUGCAGCUAACGCAUUAAGCACUCCGCCUGGGGAGUACGGUCGCAAGACUGAAACUCAAAGGAAUUGACGGGGGCCCGCACAAGCGGUGGAGCAUGUGGUUUAAUUCGAAGCAACGCGAAGAACCUUACCAGGUCUUGACAUCCUCUGACAAUCCUAGAGAUAGGACGUCCCCUUCGGGGGCAGAGUGACAGGUGGUGCAUGGUUGUCGUCAGCUCGUGUCGUGAGAUGUUGGGUUAAGUCCCGCAACGAGCGCAACCCUUGAUCUUAGUUGCCAGCAUUCAGUUGGGCACUCUAAGGUGACUGCCGGUGACAAACCGGAGGAAGGUGGGGAUGACGUCAAAUCAUCAUGCCCCUUAUGACCUGGGCUACACACGUGCUACAAUGGACAGAACAAAGGGCAGCGAAACCGCGAGGUUAAGCCAAUCCCACAAAUCUGUUCUCAGUUCGGAUCGCAGUCUGCAACUCGACUGCGUGAAGCUGGAAUCGCUAGUAAUCGCGGAUCAGCAUGCCGCGGUGAAUACG